AUAAAUGACAGUGCAGGCACACCUGGUAUCCUUAAGGUGUUGAAUAGCACCAGGAAAUAUCUGGCCAAAGAGCAAGACCUCAGCCCUAGAAAUACACUGCAGAGCAAGGGCUCAUGUACCGAGGAGGUUGAAAUGCUGUGGACAAAACAGGAUUCUAGACCUCAGGGAAUUGGACAACUGUGAGCGCUGCAGGCUGGCGGCAGGCUACAAGGGAGGAAAGAGCUUGGUAUAUGACCAUCCAGCAAGACAACAUUUCCAAGAAUCUCCUCCAGUUACAUGCUGUAAUAUGACUACCUUAUCAGCAAUGGAAUGUAGAUGA
rnacentral:lncRNA from 13 species